rnacentral:lncRNA from 1 species
AUACUACUUAAAAAUAUAUUAAUCGCUUUAGGUACUAAUAAUAGGGACUUACAAAAUUAACAUGGAUUAGUGCGUACUUGCUUAUUAGGUAGCUAGUACUGUUAAUUUACUUUUGAAAAACAGUGUGUACAAUAAUACUACAUGUUGCAAACUUGCAAUCUUGGUUGGAUUUUAAUUUUGGGUGCCACUUCUAGGCUCAAUCCCAAAAUAAUGAUUUGGCAAGCUUAGAAACAAUACUCCUGCGUGUUAAAUGAGCUAUUGAUGAACGAAGUCAACUCUGUUUCUUUGGAUUACCUAUUAUUGAAUCAAUAGUCUUUUUUUCUCUUAGGAUUAUUAUUUAUUAUAUAUUUAUUGUUACAGC